AAGACUAUAGACCUGCGGAGUACCUGCGGAAGGAUCAUUAUUGAAUACAACUUGGUCUGGGUUGUUGCUGGUUUCUAUGAAACAUGUGCACAUCCAUUCCAUUUGUUGAAAACCCUCCUUGUGCACCUUGUGUAGACCCUCCCGGCUGAACAGAUUGUAUCAAAGUUAACAAUUCUUUGGUGAGAUGGCAAUUGCUGUGUGGUUUUAAAAGCUCAGCUGUUCAGCCUGUGUUCAAAAAGG
rnacentral:misc_RNA from 1 species